UGAGACCUUAGCCUGCUAAAUAGGAUCGGGAACCUCGGUUCUCGCAUCACUUCUUAGAGGGACUUUGCGUGUCUAACGCAAGGAAGUUUGAGGCAAUAACAGGUCUGUGAUGCCCUUAGAUGUUCUGGGCUGCACGCGCGCUACACUGAUGCAUGCAACGAGUUUUUGACCUUGGCCGGAAGGUCUAGGUAAUCUUUUGAGUAUGCAUCGUGAUGGGGAUAGAUUAUUGCAAUUAUUAAUCUUCAACGAGGAAUGCCUAGUAGGCGCAAGUCAGCAGCUUGUGCCGAUUACGUCCCUGCCCUUUGUACACACCGCCCGUCGCUGCAACCGGUCGGAGGGUCCUGUGAACUCGAUGGACAGCCCAUCCCCUUCUUGGGGUUGGGCUGGAAGUUGCGUAAAUAGCGCCCUCUAAAGGAUGCAAAAGUCGUAACACGGUUUCCGUAGGUGAACCUGCGGAAGGAUCAUUC
rnacentral:rRNA from 1 species